ACUGAUGGAUGGUAUGGAAAAUAGAGAACCCAGAACUGAGCUGAUCCUUAUGUGCCCUGUGGUGUUUGAAGGAGAAAGGCAAUGCUGACCACUACAGAUGUACUGGAGGUCAGCUGGAUGGAGUGGAGACUGGGCAGGAGCUCUGCCUCACAAAGGAUUCCUCCUGUCAGGAGCACUUUCCUGUGAGACCAGAGGCAGCACACUGGGGGAGAAGAACAUUGUCUUGUUUGCUGAAAGUCCUUUAGUCCUGAUCAGAACCCCAGAAACAGGACAAAUUGAAGAUCCAUUUCAUCUCAUCACCAGAGGCAGAUUUUGAUCACCUUGAUGUUUCCAGAGUCUGAUCUUUGCGUAUUGUCUGACCUGGGCAGUGCAUUCUGGGGCUCGGGCGAGGGUUGGAAUAAUCUCUUCAGUUGCACUUGAAAAAAACCCAGCAUUUCAUUUUUCCAUGGACCUCAUUGAUUUGCAGUAGUUGCUUAAGAAAGAAUUUAUGAAUGUAAAGCAGAAGCCUGUCUCUCUGAGCCUCACAAUGUGUUAGCUUUGCUACCUUCAACAGGAAAAAGACUGUGUGGUUUGCUGUGGAAUUUUGGAGAAUCGGAAGCUAAAUGGAGCCUAAAAUUCAUUACACCAAAACGGAGGUUAGACAGCAGGUGGAACUACUGAGAGUGGUGAUGAGAAACGUCUGAUAUCAGUUCUCUCAGAGGAUGCUUGUUUGAACAGAGGUACUUAUCAACAUUGACAGGGCCCCUCUGAGAGAGGGGAUGAGGAGCAGCUUCUUGCAGUGUGUAAAGAGCUGGCAGAGUAAUUAUUGAAGGUUCAAGGUAUUUCUGAAAACUAACCUUUGGUAUUUGGCUUGAAAUGCAGUUGGCAAAGAGCCCAAAGGAUUAAGUUCUCAGCAAUGCUGCUCCUGCUGCACACUAAUACUAAUUAGUCUCUAAAUGAAUGAACCUGGUGACUGAACUUGCAGCCCUAUAAGCAGAGGUCUGGACAUCCUUGGACAUCCUUGUGCCCCUCUGCUGCCCAGAGCCCACUGAAUAAUCUAUUCUCUUAGUCAUUGGUUUUAGUCACUCCAACAGGAGUGACUAAUCCAACUAGGAAAUAACAAGGCAUCUUCAAAGAGAAGAGAAAUGUACUAACCAUGAAAAUGACAACAUGGGGGUGGAAAUUCAAGUGAAUGACAUGUGGUUUUAAAAUCCUUGAAGAUGAUACAGUGAUGAUACAAGGACAGCUCCUCAGGACAACAGAACCAGGGAGGUUUUGGGUUUUCCAUGUCUGUAUCCAGAACCACAGCAGAGAAUCACUGCAGCCCACUGCAUUCAGCUUAUUGCACCACAGCUGAUUCCAUUUUCAAAAAUUCAGCUUUGGCUCUUGAAAAACUUGGACUUCUGGAUGUCUGAAGACCUGCAUGGUAUGUACCUGCAGAUACGAAGUUUAAGAAGUGGGAACUGGAGCAGCUGAAACACCAGGGAUACAACUUUACAGUGACUGGGAAAAAUGUCAAGCUUUGAAAGAGCAUUUGUUGUGUCUAUGAGAGAGAACUCCAUCAAACUCAGGCCUUGGAGAGUGCUGCUGUGGAUGGCAAUGAGUGUGACUCAUCUGGCUAUAGAGCUGGAAGUGUAAUAUUAAAGAAAAUAAAUAACAAGGCUGCAAAGAGCAGUAAAUGAGGAAAUGAGGCAUGGAUGUGUGAGACAGAGGUUGGUCUGCUGCAUCAAGCCAAGACCUUCUGAGCACCCUUGACUCGAUCUCUCUUCUCAGAAAAGUGUGAUUCAGCAGCAGAAAAUGUUACAGAAAGAAAGGGUCAGAUGUUGUUCCAGCCACAACAAAUUAUUCAGAGCACAGAAAACCCCCCAAAAAUAAAUGCCCCCCAGUUCUGGUGGGCAUCCCUUUGAAUGGGAUCAGCAACAAUAGCUGGGAAACUUAAAUU